AUUGAACGCUGGCGGCAGGCCUAACACAUGCAAGUCGAACGAGUGGCGGACGGGUGAGUAAUGUCUGGGAAACUGCCUGAUGGAGGGGGAUAACUACUGGAAACGGUAGUUAAUACCGCAUACCAUCAGAUGUGCCCAGAUUGGAGUGGCUAGUUUGUGUGGUAACGGCUCACCAAGGCGACGAUCCCUAGAUGGUCUGAGAGGAUGACCAGCCACACUGGAACUGUGACACGGUCCAGACGCCUACGGUAGGCAGCAGUGGGGAAUAUUGCACAAUGGGCGCAAGCCUGAUGCAGCCAUGCCGUGUGUAUGAAGAAGGCCUUCGGGUUGUAAAGUACUUUCCGCGGGGAGGCGUUACCCGCAGAAGAAGCACCGGCUAACUCCGUGCCAGCCGCCGCGGUAAUAC
rnacentral:rRNA from 1 species